AGUAGGGUAAGCUAAAAUAAAGCUAGUGGGUUCAUACCCCAAAAAUGAAAUAACUAUUCUCCUACUA
rnacentral:tRNA from 1 species